ACGGGUGCGUAACGCGUGGGAAUCUGCCUUGGGGUUCGGAAUAACUCCCCGAAAGGGGUGCUAAUACCGGAUGAUGUCGAAAGACCAAAGAUUUAUCGCCCUGAGAUGAGCCCGCGUAGGAUUAGCUAGUUGGUGUGGUAAAGGCGCACCAAGGCGACGAUCCUUAGCUGGUCUGAGAGGAUGAUCAGCCACACUGGGACUGAGACACGGCCCAGACUCCUACGGGAGGCAGCAGUGGGGAAUAUUGGACAAUGGGCGAAAGCCUGAUCCAGCAAUGCCGCGUGAGUGAUGAAGGCCUUAGGGUUGUAAAGCUCUUUUACCCGGGAAGAUAAUGACUGUACCGGGAGAAUAAGCCCCGGCUAACUCCGUGCCAGCAGCCGCGGUAAUACGGAGGGGGCUAGCGUUGUUCGGAAUUACUGGGCGUAAAGCGCACGUAGGCGGCUUUGCAAGUCAGAGGUGAAAGCCUGGAGCUCAACUCCAGAACUGCCUUUGAGACUGCAUCGCUUGAAUCCAGGAGAGGUGAGUGGAAUUCCGAGUGUAGAGGUGAAAUUCGUAGA
rnacentral:rRNA from 1 species